CCUACGGGAGGCAGCAGUGGGGAAUAUUGGACAAUGGGCGCAAGCCUGACCCAGCGACGCCGCGUGAGGGAAGAAGGCUUUCGGUUUGUAAACUUCUUUCAAGAGGGAAGAGCAGAAGACGGUACCUCUUGAAUGAGCCACGGCUAACUACGUUCCAGCAGCCGCGGUAAUACGUAGGUGGCAAGCGUUGUCCGGAUUUACUGGGUGUAAAGGGCGUGCAGACGGGAAGACAAGUCAGAUGUGAAAUCCCGCGGCUCAACCGCGGAACUGCAUUUGAAACUGUUUUUCUUGAGUACCGGAGAGGUAAUCGGAAUUCCUUGUGUAGCGGUGAAAUGCUUAGAUAUCACGAAGAACUCCGAUUGCGAAGGCAGCUUACUAAACUGCAACUGACAUUGAUGCUCGAAAGUGUGGGUAUCAAACAGGAUUAGAUACCCGGGUAGUC
rnacentral:rRNA from 1 species